rnacentral:tRNA from 1 species
CUCGGUGUAGCUCAGUUGGUAGAGCGCUUGCUUUGGGAGCAAGAGGCCGUUGGUUCGAGACCAGCUACCGAGA